rnacentral:rRNA from 1 species
GACGAACGCUGGCGGCGUGCUUAACACAUGCAAGUCGAACGAUGAAGCCCUUUCGGGGGUGGAUUAGUGGCGAACGGGUGAGUAACACGUGGGUAACCUGCCCUGUACCCUGGGAUAAGCCUUGGAAACGAGGUCUAAUACCGGAUAUGACCUGCUCUCGCAUGGGGGUGGGUGGAAAGUUUUGGCGGUGCAGGAUGGACCCGCGGCCUAUCAGCUUGUUGGUGGGGUGAUGGCCUACCAAGGCGACGACGGGUAGCCGGCCUGAGAGGGCGACCGGCCACACUGGGACUGAGACACGGCCCAGACUCCUACGGGAGGCAGCAGUGGGGAAUAUUGCACAAUGGGCGAAAGCCUGAUGCAGCGACGCCGCGUGAGGGAUGACGGCC